AGCCGGUCAUAGCGUUGGGGUGCGACCUAGUCCCAUUCCGAACCUAGAAGUCAAACCCAAUGUCGCUACCGUGUUACUGACGUGCGAGAGCUGUUGGGAAGUGGUAGUGCUGGCAUUUAU
rnacentral:rRNA from 2 species